AAUAGCUCACUGGUCGAGUCGGCCUGCGCGGAAGAUGUAACGGGGCUAAACCAUGCACCGAAGCUGCGGCAGCGACACUAUGUGUUGUUGGGUAGGGGAGCGUUCUGUAAGCCUGUGAAGGUGGCCUGUGAGGGUUGCUGGAGGUAUCAGAAGUGCGAAUGCUGACAUAAGUAACGAUAAAGCGGGUGAAAAGCCCGCUCGCCGGAAGACCAAGGGUUCCUGUCCAACGUUAAUCGGGGCAGGGUGAGUCGACCCCUAAGGCGAGGCCGAAAGGCGUAGUCGAUGGGAAACAGGUUAAUAUUCCUGUACUUGGUGUUACUGCGAAGGGGGGACGGAGAAGGCUAUGUUGGCCGGGCGACGGUUGUCCCGGUUUAAGCGUGUAGGCUGGUUUUCCAGGCAAAUCCGGAAAACUAAGGCUGAGGCGUGAUGACGAGGCACUACGGUGCUGAAGCAACAAAUGCCCUGCUUCCAGGAAAAGCCUCUAAGCAUCAGGUAACAUCAAAUCGUACCCCAAACCGACACAGGUGGUCAGGUA
rnacentral:rRNA from 1 species